GUCAUUCUAGCUAGCGUUGACAACAAACACAGAAGGUUCCGGUCCCUCCUCUUGCUCCGACUUCCUUCAGUUGAAUCAUGAGAAGCGUGGCGUGGCUUUGGCAGGCGCUGCUGGCAGCAAUAAUAUUUGUGUUAGUGGCGAAACCUACCGCGGCUAUACCAGCUAUGGGUCCGUUUGGUCGUGUGAAGCGCAGUCCCUCACCUGGGUGGGGAUGCAGUCCAACCUCACAGUGUCAAGAUUCACCAAAGUUUGGAUGAUAGACUCUCUGCUCACUGACUUCAGUCAUGACUGAUUGCUGCUCGCCGAAGAAUUUCCGAAAACACACUUAUUCAUACACACACACACACACACACACACACACACACACACACACACACACACACACACACACACACACACA